GAUUCCAGGACAUAGAAUCCAUCU
rnacentral:piRNA from 1 species